rnacentral:rRNA from 1 species
GACGAACGCUGGCGGCGUGCUUAACACAUGCAAGUCGAACGAAGUGGCGAACGGGUGAGUAAUACGUGAGUACCUGCCCUCCUUUUUGGGAUAAGCCUUGGAAACGGGGUCUAAUACCGCAUAGAGGGGGCUGGUCUCGGGGCCUAUCAGCGUGUUGGGGGGGUGAUGGCCUACCAGGGCGGUGACGGGUAGCCGGCCUGCGCGGGGACCGGCGCCAUAGGGCUGGUAGACGGGCCAAACUUCUUCGGGAGGCAGCGGAGGGGGAUAGUGCACAAUGGGGGAAACCCUGAUGCAGGUGCGCCGCGUGCGGGAUGACGGCCUUCGGGUUGUAAUCCGCUUUCAGCCAUGACGCGGUAGUGGCAGAAGAAGCACCGGCUAACUACGUGCCAGCAGCCGCGGUAAUAC